UACGGAGGGUGCAAGCGUUAUCCGGAUUCACUGGGUUUAAAGGGUGCGUAGGAGGGCAGGUAAGUCAGUGGUGAAAUCUCCAAGCUUAACUUGGAAACUGCCGUUGAUACUAUCUGUCUUGAAUACCGUGGAGGUGAGCGGAAUAUGUCAUGUAGCGGUGAAAUGCGUAGAGAUCGGGAGGAACAUCAGUUGCGAAGGCGGCUCUCUGGACCAGCACUGACACUGAGGCACGAAAGCGUGGGGAGCGAACAGG
rnacentral:rRNA from 1 species